CUUUUCCCUGCCCCCUCCCUGCCCCCUCCGCCGCAGGCUGCCGCCGGUACCUCGUGCGUGGUUACUAUGCAAAUUGCAGCGAUUGCGGAAAUAAACAAGGGAGUUGGGAGAGGAGAGAGGGACUGCCGAAUCGAUUGCAACUUCUGCAAAGUCUCGUACAAUCCAAAGCACGCAAGGCAAAACCAGAGCGAAUCUGAGAACCAGCCAGCCCGGGUUGGAUCGCUUUCAAAAGAGAGAGUGAGAGCGAGCGAGCGAGCGAGCGAGAGCGAGACAGUGAGAGAGGGAGAGAGCGCGCCUUGCAAUUGCAAAAGCCUUCUGAUUUGGAGUUAAAAAAAAAAUUCUCCAAGAAGCCUGCAAUUGGCCAACAGCUUUUUAAAAAAUCUCUUCCGGGUUUUCAACGGUUCCAAGUUUAUUUAGAUAUUUUUUAAAUGCAAAAAAAAGGGGACAACAAAUGAAGCAAUUCGUCUGAGCAUUUUAAAGUUUCUCACGUACUCUUUUUACAUUGCAAUGGUACGUGGUACAUCUUAAACUUUCUAUUUUGCAUUUAUAUGAUAUGCGUUUUAUAAACAAUGGUAGAAUGAUUUUGUUUAAUGGCUAAGACUAAAAUUUCUCUAGCUCGCAUAUGCACUUAAGUGAUUGCUGGGUAAAUGUCUAUUGUGAUGGUUUUGUUUUAAAGAUGUAGCUUUGUUGAUGGUGUUUUUGCUAUGUGCAUCAGAGACCGGGUUUUCUUUUUCUUUUUUUUUUUUUUCGGGAUUUGAAAAAAUUGCUGAGCUUGACAGAUUUUUUUUUCCUCCUAGCGCUUGCUCGGUUCCAGAAAGGGGUGGGGGGAAAUCCUGUACGUGCUCUGUUCUGUAAAAGACGUCUGGCCUCAGCAGUCAACCUAACCCGAAAAGAAAUGUCUGGACCCGGAGAAUAAUUGACGAUUUGAUCCUCUAAUCAAUGGGACAACUUGGGAGAUUGACAAAAGCUUUAUCCAAUCAUAAGGAAGCUUGGGUGUACAAUAGUUCUCAAUAGCCAGAGGGGGCGGGGCAGAGGAGAUCUGAAGUUCUCUGCAGCUCUGAAGGGGAUGGUGUGGUUCAAGCUGUCAAAGCUACAAGCGCUUCCGGAUUUAGCAAGCACAAUAGGAAAGAAUUUUCGCGUUUAAGAAAAAAAAAAAAGCUGAUCGGGGGAGUUUUGCAUGAAUCGUGUGCCUUCUUCCUUGUCUUUUGGAAAAAGAAACAUUCUGCUAGAGAAAUAACUUUGUAUUGUUAUUAACUUUGCAUUAGCUAUUAUUUUUAUGCUCAGGGAAGCUGGUAACUUGUGGAAUGUGAAGUUCAACUUUAAGAAACGUGUGGCUUAAAUCUUGCCUGAAUUGUGGGACUGUAGUGAGCUUUGGGAAGUAAUAUAUUGCGUAUUCAGCAUUACAAAACUUCUUACUCUGAUUAUCUUAGAAGCUUUGGCAUUUCAAGUACUUUGAAAUUAAUAGGUAAACCUCUCUUCUUGAACUCUAAACAACAGUUUUAAAGGAGAGAAUGUUUCACAUGUGGACUAGCAGCUGUCUUACACACUUGAAAGAAAUUAGGGGAGUGUUUUUUCUUGGCUAUUCUUGAAUUCUGCUUUUUAAGUAUAUGGUCAGUAGGAAAUAGGACGUUAAGACUGGCCAAGUUCACGUUUCUCCUUGUUACCACAACAACCCCCGUGGAGAGUGUAUGGAAGAUCGCUGACUUGCUAACUGUUAGUUGGAGUCUGGCCUCUUGGACAAGUGCUUGAUACAAAUCCAGUGGAAACCAACUGCAGUAGCUUGUCUUGGAGACAGUAACUGGCAGCCUCUGACUAAAAUAUCUCCAUCUCCUCCUCUCUGAGCAGCGUAGACACCCAAUUCUGUUGGGAAGUGAAUGGAAAAUAAUAUGGGCUCUUUCCCUUCUUUGGAUUAAAUUCCCAUCGAGCUAUUUCCCAAGGCUUUAGGCCUUCCAGUCAAAUCUGGCUUGGAAAUUUGAUGUAAGAAUUCACUUGGACACUCACUUCAGCAACAUGAUUCAAUUUAGGAUUAUAUGCACAUAAGAAAAAUCUGCACAGAAGUGACCAGCAGGUCAAAAACCAGAGAAGAAAAAAUGUUGAAAAAUGCCAGUUAAUAAAGUUAGUUUUGGUAAG
rnacentral:lncRNA from 1 species